rnacentral:rRNA from 1 species
UACGAAGGGGGCUAGCGUUGUUCGGAAUUACUGGGCGUAAAGCGUGCGUAGGUGGUUAUUUAAGUCUGCUGUUAAAUCCCCGGGCUCAACCUGGGAAUGGCAAUGGAUACUGGAUAGCUAGAGUGUGAUAGAGGAUGGUGGAAUUCCCGGUGUAGCGGUGAAAUGCGUAGAGAUCGGGAGGAACAUCAGUGGCGAAGGCGGCCAUCUGGAUCAACACUGACGCUGAGGCACGAAAGCGUGGGGAGCGAACAGG